GCCGCCUACCGGCCACGACUCGCCCUCGCCUCCGCACCCCGCCGCCGCCCCGGGCCGCUCCCUCGCUUGGCGCGGAGACGGAUCGGCACCCGACAACUGCGACACCGCCACCGUCGCGCGCUGAAAGCUCACCGGCCCCUGUCCCCUUCCCACCCGGCGCACCUCCGCCUUGUUUCUGACCACGAAAGCCUCCGAGCGCUGGGCCGGACCCUCCCUGCGUUUUGCGUGAAGUUGUUGGUCUUGCCAGGUCGCACCCCGCGCCGGGGUCACCAUAUCCCUUGCCCCGCUCAGGUGAACUAGGGGGAAUCGGGAGCAACACUGCUGCGCACGAGGGACCAGGAGCCAAAGCUCUCAGCUGCUUUAAGAGUUUGCCACAGCGCUCAGGGUGAUAGUACCAAAAAGCUCGAGAAGCUCCUGAGGGCGGGGAAAUGAGGAGCACGGAAUUUACGUCGAUAAGACUUCUUAAAAAAAAAAAAAAUCAGACAGCCGACCCUGAAUCUUCCAGGUUAAGAUAAAGGAGAAACAACAUCCCACCACGCAGGGAGGCGCAUUAAGACACAGGAUGUUUUAAGUAGGGGAAGUGAACAACUCACAGGCUCCUGGAAGCCCCUCCCUACUAAGAAUGUAAAAGCAGCGAGGAUUGCCGAAUUGCACUCAGACGAGCUAAGUGGCCUAAAAAGGCUCGAGCUAGCACACCCUGUGGAAACAGCAGCUUGAGCUGGGCUGCCCAGUGUACUCUUGAGACUGCUCCAGUUGACCUGAAGAUAGGCUGGGACCAACUGAGCUGCCUGGAGGUCUCUCCAAUCUGUUGGGCUGCCUGCAGACUGCACUGUGCUCCAUGAUCCCAGCUUUCAUGAGUUCAGCAAUGCUAGGCUGAGCUUUGGGUAAUGUCCCUGUCUUUGAGUCAUUUCUGCUCCUGUAACUCCCAAUUGGACUUUGGUAAUGUGCUGGAUAGUUUUAUGUCAAGUUGACACAAACUAAAGUCAUUUGAAAGGAGGGAGCCUCAACUAAGAAAAUGCCUCCAUAAACUCCUACUGCCUGUGGAGCACUUUUGUAAUUAGUCAUUGAUGGGGAAGGGCCCAGCCCAUUGUGGAUGGUGCCAUCCUUGGACUGAUGGUCCAGGCUGAGCAAGCCAGUAAGCAGCUCCCUCCAUGACCUCCAGCUCCUGGCUCCAGGUUCCUGCCCUGCUUGAGUUCCUGUCCUGACUUCCUUUGGUGAUGAACAGUGAUGUGGAAGUGUAAGCUGAAUAAACCCUUGAAGAACAUGAAGCCAGUGGAGAGUGCAGCCUUCAUCAGGCUGGGGGACAGGCCCUUGAAGAAGCCCCGGGUGCCUUCUUCCUGUAGUACCUGCUGGGUGAGGUCCAGGAGGCCCCUGUAGCUCCGCACCUGGAGAGAGGAAGGUGGAGGCUGAGGAGGAAGCAGGGACCUAAACCACGACUGCCCACCCGGGACAAGGCAGCUCCUGUAACUGCCUGCGGAUGGAUGAAGGAGGCCCUGGAGGAGGGAGCUCCUCACUCUUUCUAAUGCAUGCUGCUAACUGAGGAAGGGCCUGGGGUCGGCAGCUGGAGAGCAAGAGCUCCUUCCUGGUGUAGAACUCUCGGCUACUUCUCCAGCACCAUGUCUGCCUACACGCCACCAUGCUUCCCAGUAUGGUGACAGUGGAUGAAACCUCUGAACUGUAAGCCACCCCCAAUUAAAUGUUUUCCUUUAUAAUGUUGCUGUGAGGCCCAGCACUCACCUUUAAUCACCACCCCCUACACACACACACACACACACACACACUGGCGAGGCAGAGGAAGGUGGAUCUGACUUCUAGGACAACCAGGGCUACAUGGAGAAAUCAUGACUUGAAAAGCAAAACAAAAAGAUCACAGCAAAAGAACUUUAACUAAGACACCCCCAAAACAAAAGAAACAAACAAAACACCUAAGAAGAGAAGCCUUUGAAAAGGCCGUCAAAUUAGCCCGCAGCUGAAGCAAGCACAGUGACCAGGAGGUCAGGACACUGGUUCCCCGCCUUGCCUUCUCUCAUUCACCCUGGAACCGUUCCAGUAGGUUCCCCUGGGAAACUCAGUCAGGUUAAACCAGGGCAGAGGACUAAGUCACUGAACCGUCUUCUUAAGGGUGACUGGGCUGCCCAGUCCUUCAUGGUCUCAAGUUUCCCUCAGUCUAAGAGGGGAAGAAGAGAUAGCAAAGAUGCAGGCCUCCUGGCUCGUUGUCCACAGACACCGAGAAGCUAGCAAGUCUGCCUGCAAACCCAGACGGAAACUGCACCGUUCAAGCCAAACACAAGGUGGGAGAGGCUGUUGUGUCCGGAUUUCUAGAAAUGAGCACUUCUGCAUUGCUGGAUACGGGUCCAGAAGACUGGGUUUUGACUCCUAGGGAGACUGAGGUGGAAGGACCACAGUGUGAGGGCCAGCCUGGACUACACAGCUCAACUCAGUCUUAAAGGCUAGAAGGAAAUCUGUGACUCACACCUGUAACCUAGAACCCUGGAGGCAAGGGCAAGAGGACUGGGAGCCAGCCUGGGCUAUAUAAGACCUCAAGAAAUUCAGAAAUUCAGACAAAAGGCAAAAUGCUAGCCAAACAUGUACAAGACCAUGGGUCCUGCUCCCCAGCACUAAAAGGAGUCACGGUAGAGUCCCUGCCUUUUAUGCACAAAAUCCUGAGUUUAUAAACCCAUUGUUACAAAAAUAAAUAAUAAAUAAAUAAAUA
rnacentral:lncRNA from 1 species